UGCCAGCAGCCGCGGUAAUACGGAGGGUGCGAGCGUUGUCCGGAUUUAUUGGGCGUAAAGGGCUCGUAGGCGGUUACGUAAGUCGGAUGUGAAAACUCGAGGCUCAACUUCGAGACGCCAUCCGAUACUGCGUUGACUUGAGUCCGGUAGAGGAGUGUGGAAUUCCUAGUGUAGCGGUGAAAUGCGCAGAUAUUAGGAGGAACACCUAUUGCGAAGGCAGCACUCUGGGCCGGUACUGACGCUGAGGCACGAAAGCGUGGGGAGCGAACAGGAUUAGAUA
rnacentral:rRNA from 1 species